CCUACGGGUGGCAGCAGUGGGGAAUAUUGCACAAUGGGCGAAAGCCUGAUGCAGCAACGCCGCGUGAGCGAUGAAGGCCUUCGGGUCGUAAAGCUCUGUCCUCAAGGAAGAUAAUGACGGUACUUGAGGAGGAAUCCCCUGCUAACUACGUGCUAGCAGCCGCGGUAAUACGUAGGGGGCUAGUGUUAUCGGGAAUUACUGGGCGUAAUGGGUGCGUAGGUGGCUUCUUAAGUCAGAGGUGAAAGGCUACGGCUCAAUCGUAUUAAGCCUUUGAAACUGGGGGACUUGAGUGCAGGAGAGGAGAGUGGAAUUCCUAGUGUAGCGGUGGAAUGCGUAGAUAUUAGGAGGAACACCAGUUGCGAAGGCGGCUCUCUGGACUGUAACUGACACUGAGGCACGAAAGCGUGGGGAGCAAACAGGAUUAGAUACCCUGGUAGUC
rnacentral:rRNA from 1 species